UACGUAUGGGGCGAGCGUUGUUCGGAAUUAUUGGGCGUAAAGGGCUCGCAGGUGGUUUGUUAAGUUGGCGGUUUAAUCUCAGGGCUCAACCCUGAAUCGGCCAUCAAAACUGACGAACUUGAGUAUGAGAGGGGAUAGCGGAAUUCUCGGUGUAGCGGUGGAAUGCGUAGAUAUCGAGAGGAACACCAAUGGCGAAGGCAGCUAUCUGGCUCGUAACUGACACUCAUGAGCGAAAGUGCGGGGAGCAAACAGG
rnacentral:rRNA from 1 species